GGUCCGUGAUGAAACCGGGCCAAAUAUGAGUUUCAGGGACCAGCUGGUCUACCUGACGCGUGAUCUCAAUUGUUCUGGGA